ACUCGACUCUGGGACUAUGAGGCAAUUCAUCCACACGCUCCAAACCCCAGCUUAUUGUAGGAGACCAGUGCCUCGAUCUCAUGAGGUCAUCUUGACGCCUCAGCUGUAACCCUUGGAGAAACUAUGAUCUUUGCUGCUCUGCCUGCUGACAUGAUCAUCCCAGGUGCAAAACAGGUAUGAGCCACUGGCAUUCCUGCGCACCAGUCUUCCAUCCUCUUUUCCUCAAGGGACCCACUGGCCAACCGGAUGUGCCGUUGUCCUGAGAACUGGCUUUACAUUUUGUGAGAUGUUUAAAGUCCAGGGAGGUCACUUAUAAGGAGGCACCUCUGUUCUCCAGGUGCACACACACAGCCUCCCGUUAUCCUGUCUUGCACGUGUGUCCUUAGGGGCCAGCACACUGGCUGCCUUCCAGAGUCUGCCUGGCUUUUCCAUCCCACCUCCACUCCCGAAGGCAUCCCGCUGCGGUCCUGGGGAUCUUGAAUAGAAGCCCCUGCAAAUACCUACUUACAUAAGCCACGUACACGUUCUGUGCUGUUCCACAGUGGCUCUUGGUGCAAUUCGUUUUUAUUUCCUGCAAGCAGACUUUAUUACUUAACUUUUUGCCCCCACAUUUCUUUAAUCUGCAAGAUGCAGCAAUGGAACUGGAUCAGAGAUCUUCA
rnacentral:antisense_RNA from 1 species